UGUACUAAAAUGCCGUUAGCAGAUAUGACGUCAAUUAUGUGACGCGUUUGACAGUACUAGCAGAUUCGUCAUCAAAUUGACGGCAUCUUAUUAUACUGCCGUUACAGCUGUUAGUGCAUGUUACUUAAUAUACUAUAUUUGCCGAGAGCGUAUUCAAAGUUAAAGUGGUUGUUGUUAAUCAUUGUUGGAACAACUUGUGCCAAAUAUGAACUAAAUCUGAUCUGUUGAUAUAGAAUGAGGUAAGUGCUAUAGUCCAUACGUUUUCUAAUUGCUCUUAUCUACUUUUAGUUAAGUUAGGUUUAGAUACCUAUUAUACAUGCCAAGAAUGUUAAAAGUUGGAGAUAGAUUUACCUCAUUUGCGGAUGCAAAAAAAGCCAUCGCGGAACUUGGUGACAAUACGUAUACGACAUUUUGGAAACGAGAUGCACGUACUAUUGCAAGUAGUAAAAUUGCUAGACAAAUAAAAAGUUCUUUAAUAUAUUAUCAACUUGUUUAUGCAUGCAAUCAUGGUGGAAGGAAAUUCAAGAGCAGUGGUAAGAAAAUUCGGCAGUCUUGGACAUUUAAAGAAGAUUGUCCUGUACAUGUAAGAUUCAAGGCAUCAUUAGAUGGAAAUGCAUUAGAAGUAACGUCGAUUCAAAGCCAGCACAAUCAUGACACAUCUAAAGUCUUAUAUGCACAUACCCCUAGUCAAAGAAGGCUGUCUAGCAACAUGAAGGAAAGUGUAAAAGAUUAUUUGAAUAUGAAAGCAAAUAGAAAAAUGAUACAACAAAAAUUGCAAGAAAGCACUGGUAAAAUCAUUACUUUGCAAGAUUUAACAAAUAUAACCAAAAAUGACCAAUCCAAAACAGAAAAUCUGGAUAACUGCUUAAAAAUACUCAAAACGAAAUAUGGUGCCCAUGCAGCUGUAUUGCGAGACGUAGACAAUAAUUUUAGGGGUCUUUUUAUUCAAACGCCAGCUAUGAAAAGCACCAUGAAUGCAUUUCCAGAAUUUCUUGCAGUAGAUGCAACAUAUAAAUUACUUAAAAUAGGAUUACCCGUUUUUCUUAUAAUUGUAGAAGACGGUAAUUGUCAAACUGAAAUAGUGGGUGUGUGUAUACUGGCAUCAGAAGGUAGACAAAGUUUCACCUGGUUCUUAGAAACCUUUAAAAGUGAGAAUCCAGCAUGGAUAAACGUGAAAUGCAUAAUGACUGACAAGGACUUACAUGAAAGAGAAGUAAUUAAGAAUUGUUUUCCUAAUGUAAACCUUAUAAUAUGCGUGUUCCACACAUUGAAAAUAUUUUAUCGUGAAAUUUCGUGUCAAAAAAUGGGAAUUACUCCAAGUCAGCGUACACUUAGUUUAGAACUAAUUCAGAAAUUGGUCUACGCUAAGACAGAUGAUGACUACGAAAAAUACAUGCAAGGCUUAAAAGAUAGUGUACCUCGAACAGUGUAUGAGUAUUUUAUGAAAAACUGGCACAACACUAAAGAUGAGUGGAAUCUAGGGAAAAAUUAUUUUAAGAACAGUUUUUUAAAUAACACAAAUAACCGUCUGGAAUCUAUUAACGCUAAACUAAAGUCAGUUAUAAACAAAAAUAGUCCUUUGGAACAUUUUAUAAACAGCUUGUUUACAAUUAUUUCAAGUUUGGAGACAGAAAGGGAUCAUAAAGCAGUUUAUGGUAUUUUAAAAAAACCUGUCGACAUGUUUCCCGAAGACUCAGAUGAAAGAAAAUAUUUCAAACUGCUCACACGUGAAGCUUCAAAGCAUGUUUUAAGAGAAAUUCGUAUUUCGGAACAAAUCAGAAGUAUUACUGUUUCUGCAGAUGGUUAUUACAUCAUUACUGAUAGUCGGGGGUCCACAAAAACUACAGUUUCUUCGUGUAAUUGUGUAAUGUAUGAUGCAAUGAUUUUACCCUGCAAGCAUAUUUUUGCAUUGAGGCGGCAUUUACAUGUAGAGCUUUUUGAUAGAAUGCUUGUAAACCACAGGUGGACCAUGGAUUAUUAUAAAGGCAAGCAGCGAACAUUAUAACGUCUUUGCUUGAAGACAAUGAAUCGACAGGAUAUCACUUGCCAUGUACAUCUAAUGAUAGCACUAUAUCUGUAUCACUGACCACACAAGGGCAUCAACCAAUAUAUUCCUAUGCACAAAGAAGAAAAAAAUGUCUUCUGUUAUGUACUGAACUUGCCGACUUAGCAGCACAACGUACGGGCAUGUUAUUUGAGCAAAGGCUUAAUCUAUUAAAAAAUCUCAAAACAUUGUGGGCUAAUGAUACUGCUGUUCUACUUACGCCUAUAGACGUUAGAGACGAAAAUGACCGGCAAUUUAUUGUUGAAAGUAAUGAUGAAGUAGUAUUUGAAAAUGAAAAUUUUUCAGAGUUUUGUAACGAAGUGGUUAUCCAAGACCUAAAUAUAUUAGGUGACGUAAAUCUCUCAUCUCUGGGCCACACUGAAGUUAUUGAGGAGGUCAAUAUGGAAGAAUCAAAUAAAGAAAAUGAAGUUCCUGUUACCGCUGAUAUUAAUGUACGUGACUGCAACAACCAAUCCCAGCAAACUGUUCAAGUAAAUGACAUUAAUUUGUCGACUAUCAAAAUGCCAGUUGCAAUAAAGAAACGAGGACGCCCAAAAGGGCAAGACUUAACAGUAAUAGGAUUACCAAAACGAAGGAAAAGAAAACCCUUGUCGUUUUCAAAGAAAUCAUAUCAGGAAAAACAGGAUUUAAUACUAAAUUUCUUUGUUCAGAAUGGUGAUAUUGUUAAAGAUAUUAAAAAUGGUAAAAUUCUUGAAGAUUUAGAUCUUAAAUCGUUUCCAGAAGAAAUAUCUGAUGCUGUAUUAGAUAAUAGCGUUGACGUCCACUUGAUGAAAACCUUUUGCACAGACGAAGCCUUUAACAAGAUCUUUAACCUAGUGGAACAAAAACGACUUAAGCAACACUGGUCUUGCUCUGUGUGUGGUGCAGGCAAUCAAAACGACCAAACAGCAGUUUGUUGUAGUGGUUGCCUUCUGUGGAAACAUAUUCGUUGCUUAGGAUUAUCUAGGCGGCCUAAAUCAAAACAGUGGUUUUGUAGAAAUUGCUACUAAGAAUUAUGUAUUUUUUGUGUUUGAUACAUUUUGUGUUUUUUUUUUCAAUAAAUCACAGUACGUU